rnacentral:rRNA from 1 species
GUGGGGAAUCUUCCGCAAUGGACGAAAGUCUGACGGAGCAACGCCGCGUGAGUGAAGAAGGUUUUCGGAUCGUAAAGCUCUGUCAUCAGGGACGAACGGCCGGUGGAGUGGAAAGCCACCGGAUUGACGGUACCUGAGAAGGAAGCCACGGCUAACUACGUGCCAGCAGCCGCGGUAAUACGUAGGUGGCAAGCGUUGUCCGGAAUUAUUGGGCGUAAAGCGCGCGCAGGUGGGAUCUUAAGUCCAUUUUGAAAGUUCGGAGCUCAACUCCGUGAUGGGAUGGAAACUGGGAUUCUUGAGUACCGGAGAGGAAAGCGGAAUUCCCCGUGUAGCGGUGAAAUGCGUAGAUAUGGGGAGGAACACCAGUGGCGAAGGCGGCUUUCUGGACGGUGUCUGACACUGAGGCGCGAAAGCUAGGGGAGCGAACGGGAUUAGAAACCCUUGUAGUCC